rnacentral:rRNA from 1 species
AUUGAACGCUGGCGGCAGGCCUAACACAUGCAAGUCGAGCGAGCGGCGGCCGGGUGAGUAAUGUAUGGGGCCUGCCCGAUAGAGGGGGAUAACUACUGGAAACGGUAGCUAAUCCCGCAUACUAUCGGAUAACCCAUAUGGGAUUAGCUAGUCGGUGAGGUAAUGGCUCACCUAGGCGUCGAUCCCUAGCUGGUCUGAAAGGAUGAUCAGACAAACUGGGACUCAGACACGGCACAGACUCCAACGGAGGCAGCGGUGGGGAAUAUUGCAAAAAGGGCUCAGGCCUAGUGCAGCCAUGCGGCGUGUAUGAAGAAGGCCCUAGGGUUGUAAAGGACUUUCAGUCGGGAGGCGUUACCGACAGAAGAAGCACCGGCUAACUCCGUGCCAGCAGCCGCGGUAAUUC